rfam:Solanum tuberosum cultivar DM 1-3 516 R44 scf00083_43, whole genome shotgun sequence.
UGGAGUAUAGCCAAGUGGUAAGGCAUCGGUUUUUUGGCACCGGCAUGCAAAGGUUCGAAUCCUUUUACUCCAG